rnacentral:rRNA from 1 species
AACGAACGCUGGCGGUAUGCCUAACACAUGCAAGUCGAACGAGACCUUCGGGUCUAGUGGCGCACGGGUGCGUAACGCGUGGGAACCUUCCCUUAGGUUCGGAAUAACUCCCCGAAAGGGGUGCUAAUACCGGAUAAUUUCUUCGGACCAAAGAUUUAUCGACUUUGGAUGGGCCCGCGUUGGAUUAGCUAGUUGGUAGGGUAAAAGCCUACCAAGGCGACGAUCCAUAGCUGGUCUGAGAGGAUGAUCAGCCACACUGGGACUGAGACACGGCCCAGACUCUUGCGGGAGGCAGCAGUGGGGAAUAUUGGAAUAUGGGCGAGAGCCUGAUGCAGCAAUGCCGCGUGAGUGAUGAAGGCCUUAGGGUUGUACAGCUCUUUUACCCGGGAUGAUAAUGACAGUACCGGGAGAAUAAGCACCGGCUAACUCCGUG